rnacentral:rRNA from 1 species
UACGUAGGGUGCAGGCGUAAUCGGAAUUACUGGGCGUAAAGCGUGCGCAGGCGGUGAUGUAAGACAGGUGUGAAAUCCCCGGGCUUAACCUGGGAACUGCAUUUGUGACUGCAUCGCUGGAGUGCGGCAGAGGGGGAUGGAAUUCCGCGUGUAGCAGUGAAAUGCGUAGAUAUGCGGAGGAACACCGAUGGCGAAGGCAAUCCCCUGGGCCUGUACUGACGCUCAUGCACGAAAGCGUGGGGAGCAAACAGG